GUUUUGAAUUUCCGUCGCUAGAGAGCAACAAAGACCGCAAACUUUCACGAAAGGACUUGAGCAGGCAUCAGUGAAUACUGUUACAUGUCAUUUUAGUUGUUCACUGUGUGAUAUUUAUCAGCGGUUGGCAUGCUAGCUAAUAGUUGUUUUAUCCGGUAGACACUGAAAAGGCAUUUAAUUGGAGAACUUUCUGGAAACCCAUCGUAGAUUUGCACAAAUACAUUCAGCAAGAGGAAGAAGGAAGAAAAGGAUGGAAAAAGGAUGAAAGCAAGAGCACUGGGCAACCGACAGAGGGAACAAGACUCGUCUCGUGUACGACGGCUACGGGUUCUGGACUGGCGGAUUGGGCCAGGCGCGGGGCCUGGAGUUUCUGAACUUGGAGGGUUGAACCCUGACCCAGAGGAGAAGCUGGGGCCGGGCAUGU